rnacentral:rRNA from 1 species
GACGAACGCUGGCGGCGUGCCUAACACAUGCAAGUCGAGCGAAUGAAGUUCCUUCGGGAACGGAUUUAGCGGCGGACGGGUGAGUAACACGUGGGCAACCUGCCUCAUAGAGGGGAAUAGCCUUCCGAAAGGAAGAUUAAUACCGCAUAAGAUUGUAGCUUCGCAUGAAGCAGCAAUUAAAGGAGCAAUCCGCUAUGAGAUGGGACCGCGGCGCAUUAGCUAGUUGGUGAGGUAACGGCUCACCAAGGCGACGAUGCGUAGCCGACCUGAGAGGGUGACCGGCAAGAGUGGGGAUGGGAGCCGGACCAGACUCCUAGGGGAGGCAGGAGUGGGGAAUAUUGCACAAUGGGGGAAACCCGGAUGCAGCAACGCCGCGUGAAGGAUGAAGGCCUUUGGGUCGUAAAAUUCUGUCCUUUGGGAAGAAAAAAAUGACGGUACCCCUGGAGGAAGUCCCGGAUAACUACGUGCCAGCCGCCGCCGUAAAAC